AUUAGAUCUCUUAAUGACAAAGAGCCUCGUAUAACUAUAGCGAUGCUAGAAGUUUUAUGAUCGGCUAUUACGCAAAAAGCAAAACACAACUAUGUAAUAAUACUAGACCCGCAUAGAAAAUUUAAGUAUAUCAUGUUAUAAAACUUACCGGAAACAGCCG